GCUAUAUUGGCAGAUUAGUGUAAUAAAUUUAGAAUUUGUUUAAAUGAAAUAAAUUUUCGUAUAUAGUA
rnacentral:tRNA from 1 species